rnacentral:rRNA from 1 species
CGGAGGGUGUCGUGGUGAGGCUCAGGCUGUGGCUGAAGUCGCAGUAGGGUACUCGUACCAAUGGCUGCUCCAGCCUAGGCGGCCGUGGGUGCCGGUCCUGACGGAAGGGGCGAGAGCGUCGGGGGCAGGACUUCGUCGACUGCCGCCGCCGCCGCCGCGAUUCCUGUCGACCCGUGCGCUCGACGACGCCGCGCCUACCCCGGACUCGGCCUGCCGGCGGUACCGGCCGCGGCGCCGCUGCCGGCGCGGCCAGCACCGGGGCGGCGACUAGCAGGAGAGGCGGCGGCCGCAGCGCGAGAGGCAGGGGAAGCGGCGGAUGGAGCGGUCGGAGCGGCGGCGAUUGGUGGAGUGGCCGCGCGAGGAGGCAAGGACAGUUGGCGGCGGCGUCGGCACGGGGGUUCUUAUGCUGCUGGACCUCGUUCUUAAGGAGCUGCGCAGAUUCCUGUCGACCCGUGCGCUCGACGACGCCGCGCCUACCCCGGACUCGGCCUGCCGGCGGUACCGGCCGCGGCGCCGCUGCCGGCGCGGCCAGCACCGGGGCGGCGACUAGCAGGAGAGGCGGCGGCCGAAGCGCGAGAGGCAGGGGAAGCGGCGGAUGGAGCGGUCGGAGCGGCGGCGAUUGGUGGAGUGGCCGCGCGAGGAGGCAAGGACAGUUGGCGGCGGCGUCGGCACGGGGGUUCUUAUGCUGCUGGACCUCGUUCUUAAGGAGCUGCGCAGCCUUCCCAUGCCUGUUCUCCGAGGCCGCAAGCCGGUAAACCUAUGGCUUUGUCUCGUCCCGUAGCAGCUUCUCCUUCCGCCCUCGCUGUGAAGCGACGGGGACAGUGCCCUAGGGCCACGCGAACGGCCGCUGCUCCGUCUUCCACUUAAAAUACGGGUUCUUAAAAGAGGUGGUAGUUUCGGUGACGAAGUUCCUCUCCUAGUAGACCAAGUCUUUUCUCCUCUUCUACUUAAAAGACGUGGUAGUUUCGGUGACGAAGUUCUUCUCCUAUGAGACCAAGUCUUUUCUCCUCUUCUACUUAAAAGACAUGACCUAAGUCUGGUUGUCAGUAACGUUAGUUUGUUAACCUUCCCUUUUCUCCUACAGCACAUAAGACUUUUGUUACUUCUCCUACUGUCUUGAUACCUCCUUUUGUCCGGACGUUUCCUCUGCCACAACGUUCCGAAGACAAAAGGACUUAACCCGCACGGUCGGAGGCCAGUGCUGCUGUUACACCAGGCCCUUUUCCCUCUUCUACUCAAAAGACAUGUCUUAAGUCCGGUCGUUAGUCAAGUUAAAGUCAGUUUCUUAAAACCACUUUUUCUUCUUGUACUACCCUUUUGAUACCUCCUUUUAUUCGGAUGGUUCCUCUGCCACAGUGUUCUCCGAGGCCGCAAGCCGAUAAACCUAUGACUUUGUCUCGUCCGGUAGUAGUUUCUUCUUUUGCUCUCGCUGUGAAGCGGCGACGACGGUGCCCUAGGACAAUAAAUGCUUCGCAGACGCGGACGCAAACGACUGUUCCUCCACCUCCUCCUCCACGUUCCACUUAAAAGACGGUUUCUUAGACCGGUACCAAGUAUGUAUAGCUUGGCGCUGUUGUUAUGUCUCCUCGUGUGUGGUAACCUUCCUUCCCUCAGAUGAGAUUACCUUUGUGAUGGCUCCCCGAAACCAGAAAGACGUAGACGUUUCGGUGACAAAGGUCUUCUCCUAUUACACUAAGUCCUUUUCCCUUUGCUGUUUCUUCGACUUGUUCAUUGUCCGUUCGUUAGUUAAGUUAGUUUCUUAACCUCACUUUGUCUACUACUGCACAUAAGAUUUCUUCUUUCACUACCAUUUAGGUACCCCCUUUUAUUCAGAUACCUCCUCUACCACAGCGCUCCGGAGACAAAAGGUCUUAGCGUACACGGUCAUAGUCCGCUUCUGCUACUGUUACACCAGGUCCUUUUCCCUCUUCAAUUUAAACUACGUGUCUUAAGUCCGGUUGUUAGUAAAGUCAGUUACUUAAACUCACUUUUUCAUCUUCUCCUACCGUUUUGAUGUCUCCUUUUGUUCAGAUGGUUCCUCUGUGACAAGAUACCUAGUAGACACGGCCGCAGUCCACUACUUCUGUUACACCAAGUCCUUUUCUCUCUUCCACUUAAAAGACGUUCCUUAAGUCCGGUUGAUGGUAAAGUUAGUUUCUAAACCUUACUUUUUCUUCUCCUACCGUUUUGAUGUCUCCUUUUGUUCAGAUGACUCCACUGCAUAAGCGUUCCAAGGAUAAAAGGGCUUAGUUCACACGGUUGUAGUCCACUACUUUUGUUCUUCCCUCUCCUACUUAAGAGACAUGUGUUAAAUCCGGUCAUAAGUGAAAGUAGUCUGUAGCCUCUAUUUUUUCUCGUACCGUAUUGUUACCUCUUUUUCUUCAGAUGGCUCCUGUACGGUGGUGCUCUGAGACAACCGAGACUCAGUGGUCGAGGUCACAAGGUACCACUUCUGUUGCACCAAGUCUCGUUCCUUCCUAAACUUCAACGUCACCUCCCUCACAAGCUUCUUCGAUUAUGAUUAUGGCUAGAACAAUGCCGGCUUCACCAACUAAGAGUUCACCUUUAAUAACAUUAACGGCGUGGACUCUCGCUCCACGACGGUGGCUCAUGACUAGAACAUUACCGGCUUCACCAACUACACGUUCACCUCUAAUCACGUUGACGUCGUGGUCUAUCACUCCAGGAAAGUGGCUCAUUGGAACACCGAGGACUCAACGUAGGCCUAUAACAAUGUCCCCUUCAAUUACUACACAUACAACGUAACCACGACGAGACCUUGGACUCUCACUCCACGACGUACUCUCAUUGGAACGCCAACCACGAAGUUGCCGUCUAGGACCAUGACCCCUUUAAAGACUACACGUUCAGUUGCAACAACGACGACGCUUCGGACUUCUACUCCACGACGUACUCUCACUGGAACGUCGAACACGAAGUUGCCGUCUAGAACCAUAACCCCUUUAAAGACUACAUGUUCAGUUGUAACAACGACGACGACACUUCGGACUUCUACUCAACGACGGUGACUCAUUGGAGUGUCUUACACUCAGUGUCCACCAAUAACUUUGACGUGUACAACCACUGUAACAUCCUUAAAGACGUUAUCCUGCGUUACAUUUCCUAAGAUCACUACAUCUGUUUGUUCCGUACCUUACGACAAAACAGGGUCACCGCAGAUACGUACUAUGACUUCUACAUUACAGGUCACCCUCGUGCGGCAUAAAGAGGUGGUACCCGCUUCUUUAGCAACUGGACAGGCUAGUCAGUUCACUACACCCAAUGUGUCACUCCUUACUUCGUAAAUCCUCGUCUCAACAACGACUCUCGCUCCGAGCGAUGUGCCUUCUUGUCAACUCCCUUGUCGAGCUGUGCUAUUCUUGUUAUUGGCCCAUGUCACGACACGGAAGAAGCUGUGACCUUCCGCUCGACCGUUCCGACAUGUAUAAGCACCCGCACCUCGGGGGGCAGCCGAGUUCGUUAUAGAGACUGGCGGACUACCGCGAGUCACGUCUUCAGGACAAGAACUUUAGCUAGUAGCCUCACCUGACUUAUAGAAUCUAGAAGUUUGACUUGAGAUAGAAGGACAUAGACAUAUACGUAUCAACGUCGGCCAAGGACAGGAGGACACCCUAAAAUCUAUGAGGGAGGAAGAUAGAUAUAUCCCGGAUUACGCAAAAAGCUCCGAUUG